GACGAACGCUGGCGGCGUGCUUAACACAUGCAAGUCGAACGGAAAGACCCUGCUUUUGUGGGGUGCUCGAGUCGCGAACGGGUGAGUAACACGUGAGUAACCUGCUCUUGACUUUGGGAUCACUUCAGGAAACUGGGGCUAAUACCGGAUAGGCGCUCCUGCUGCAUGGUGGGGGUUGGAAAGUUUCGGCGGGUGGGGAUGGACUCGCGGCUUAUCAGCUUGUUGGUGGGGUAGUGGCUUACCAAGGCUUUGACGGGUCGCCGGCCUGAGAGGGUGACCGGCCACAUUGGGACUGAGAUACGGCCCAGACUCCUACGGGAGGCAGCAGUGGGGAAUAUUGCACAAUGGGCGGAAGCCUGAUGCAGCAACGCCGCGUGCGGGAUGACGGCCUUCGGGUUGUAAACCGCUUUCGCCUGUGACGAAGCGUGAGUGACGGUAAUGGGUAAAGAAGCACCGGCUAACUACGUG
rnacentral:rRNA from 1 species